rnacentral:lncRNA from 1 species
GCCCUGUUCUCAGAGGACAGCCCAAGGCCUGAGUUGAACCCAGCUGCUUUUGAUGGCCCUGCUCACAGCUGAUCCCGUCCGGCGUCCACGGCGGUGGGUUUUGUCCUUGAGAUGACAGUGCAGUUGUGUUCCAGGGGCUCAAAACCAGGAGUGCCCCACUUGCACUGCCCUGCUCCAGGGUCUGCGGCCAACAGGCCUCUCCUUGACGCCCAGCUGGGGGCUGGGAGUGGGGUGUUUCUAGCUGGUUCAGUAGGGAGGGGCAGCUAUAAAUGGGGCUGUCUCUGACCACCUCAUGGGUGGUAGCAAGGUCGGCCUGAGAACAGUGGAGGCUGUGCCCCGCGGGCACGGGGCACAGGGCAGGUACCCAGGCCCGUCACCUGCUGUGAAGUGACGUCCCGUGGCAUUUCAGAGUGAAAACGUGGGUCCAGCCAGGUCUGCUGUGAGGCUCACUGAGGUUCAGGGCCAGCCCCACCCAGCAGUGAAGUGGGCAGGCCUGGCUCCCUCUCCCGCAGUGGCUCAGGGCAGGAGCAGAUCCUCCCAGGGUCCCUGUGCCCAGUCCGCUGUUGCCCACUGCAGAUGGAGAGCUGCACCCAGCCCGCUGUCAUCACCAAGGACUUCUGCAUGGUCUUCUACUCCCGCGACGCCAAGCUGCCAGCCUCACGCUCCAUCCGAAACCUGUUCGGCAGCGGGAGCCUGAGGGCCUCAGAGGGGUGAGCCUACGGGGGCGGGCAGGGGAGCUGCCUCGUCUGCCACCUGGUGCGGUGAGAGCCACCCUAAACUCUGCAGAAUGCCCUGGGUGUCCCCUGUGGUCUGAUACUCAUGGGACUUGUGUUCAGAAGGUCGCAAGCACCGCACGCUCCCGGCCAACUCCCUGCUGGCCCUGGCCCCCUGGGAGGGGCCGGAGAGAACCUGGCCAACCUGGCCACAGGUAGCCUGUGCCCUGCGUGGGGGCACCCCUGCACCCCUGCCAGUGCCUUGCUCCCGGGACCACAGGGUCUGCACUGCUGGGACUGCCUGCUACGCAGGGCAACAGGCGGGAAGUGGGGCCCUGGACAGGACUUUGAGCAGGACGUGGCCAAGCGGGUCCUCUGGGAGGCUGCAGUGCCCGAGGGCAUCGGCUCAGGCAGGACCUUGCUUGCACUCAGCACUUCCUGCGUCCUGGGGGUGGAGGACGAGCCAGGACAUCAGGGCAGUGAGAAGGGCCGUCCUCUGCAGGCCUGUGGUCACCUUUGUUGGGUGUUCCCAUGAUCUGCUUCAUGUGCCCAGUGUCCAGGCCCAUCUGGGCACAGCCGGAGCAAGCUUGGGGGUCAGGAAGAAGUCUGGGGUGGAACUGCCUAGGCAGGCUACAGGUCACAGACCCCAACCGUCAGCACCCGUGACAGGCACCUAGAUGAUGUGGUCAUAGGCUUGUGCCCAGAGUGUGUUUGAUGGUAUGAGGGUCAGCUGUCUAUCAGCCUGCCUGCCCCCAUCCUGGUGACCAUGCCCUCCCCCCCGCCGUAGCAACCGAGUGACUGGCGUGUACGAGCUCAGCCUGUGCUACGUGGCGGACGCCGGCAGCCCAGGUAGGCCACACCCUGCCCUUCUGCCGAGCCGAGGCAGGUUCCUGGCAUCACUGGGCUGCUGGGUCUCUGCUCCACUUGGGGUGACCUUAGCUAAGCUGGGGUCCCUUACCUGCAAAACGCAAGUGCUCACCUUGAAGCCUCUGGGGUCGUUCUCAAAUGGAGAGAGUGGGGUGAGCUGGCCCUGCGGCUGCCAGGUCUUAGCCCCAGGGCCUCACUGCUGACCUUGGAAGCUGACCUUGAUCCCGGAAGGGAGGGGUUUCAGCGGCUGGGACUCCCUGGUGGGUGGGAGAACCCGGCAGCCCUCCGGAAGGACAGAGUGCCUGUUCUCGGCCAGGGAUGCAGCGGCGGCGCCGGCGGGUGCUGGACACCUCUGUGGCCUAUGUCCGGGGUGAGGAGAACCUGGCCGGCUGGCGGCCCCGGAGUGACAGUCUGAUCCUGGACCACCAGUGGGAGCUGGAGAAGCUGAGCCUCCUGCAGGAGGUGAGCCCCGGGUCCGCCCAGGCCCAGCGGCACCAUGGCCCUGUCCCCAGAGUGAACCACACGGAGCACAUGCCCCUCGAGCUGACUCGGGAGACGUGGGGUGUUCAGACAGGGAUGAGACAGAAGUCCAGGGAGGAUAUUGGGUCUGGCGUCUGUUGCUCUGGGCAGGGACACCACCUCCAAAGCCAGCUUGGGCUGUCCAGUGUGGCAUGUCCGUGCCCCAUGCCCCAGCCAGCCUUCGGUCCUUUCCCAAGGCACUAACACUGCAGAGUGGCACCCUCCACCCCAGAACCCAGGGAGGGAAUGCACGUGUCCACAGCUCCCGGCUGGCCCAUGCACUGUGGCCAGGAGGCCGUGGACAGGGAGGGCAGCCUGGGGGGGGCUGAGUCCCCCAGGCCUUGUGGCCCUGGAGUCUGCCUGCUCAGUUCACGUGGGGGGCCUCCAGCCAGGGCCAGACCCCCUCAGGCCGACCAGAGAGCCCGCUGCUCAGUGGUGCCGCCUGGGCUGGCCUUGCCCCUCACGGGUGCGGCUGCUGAGUUCCGUGUUCCUGCUGAAGGUCGAGAAGACCCGCCACUACCUGCUCCUGCGGGAGAAACUGGAGACCACCCAGCGGCCCGGCCCUGAGGUGCUGUCCCCCGUCUCCAGUGAAGACUGUGAGUCCCGAAGCUCCUCUGGCGCCUCCUCCCCACUGUCCGCCGAGGGCCGACAGUCGCCCCUGGAGGCACCCAAUGAGAGGCAGCGGGAGCUGGCAGUCAAGGUAGGUGGAGCCCGCGGGUGGCACCCAGGCCCAUCCCUGGGGCUGCCUCCAGUCAGAGUCCAGGAGCGGGGAGGGUGACGGACCCGGAGCCCCCUCUAGCCGCGCCCAUCGCACUCUGGAGCAGGGGAGUCGGCUGGGGGCCUUUUGCUGCCUCGGACCUCAGCAGCGACCUGCCCUCUUGGGAACCCCCGAGCUUGUGAGGAGCGCAUAGCUCCCUGCAGCUGGACCAUCUGGGGUGGCAUGGACCAGUGGGAGGUCUCCUGCACACCGUGAGACUCUCCCUGGCUCACCUGUCCCCGGGGCAGUGUCGGCACCCACCUGACCGGCCAUGCUUGGGCUCGCCCGUCUGCCCACGUGUGGCCUGACAGUGCAUGCUCUCUGCCCACAGUGCUUACGUCUGCUCACGCACACGUUCAACAGAGAGUACACCCACAGCCAUGUCUGCAUCAGUGCCAGCGAGAGCAAGGUGGGUGGGGUCCCAGGGCCACCUGUGGGGCCCUUGUCACCAAGAAGUCCCAUCCUUGUCAGGCAUCCCAGGCCGGGGCUCCUGGGAGGAUGGUGUGGUUGAGGGUCCCGUGUGCCCUCCCAGUGCCUCCUGGCCCCUGCUGUCUUCCCAUCCCUUGGACUGGGGUCCUUCCUCGGAGGAGGCUCGUCCUGCAGGCUCAGUCCCCUCCCAAGCGAGGCUGGUCUGGUGCCUCACUCCCGCAGCCUCCCAAGGGUGCCCUGCACCAGGUCAGGCGGGCCUUCUGCCUGGCCCACGGCCUUCACCCAGCAGCCUCCUGCUGACCACAUGCCACAGAGGCUGUGGAGGGGCACCUGGAGCUGGCCCCACACCUGGAACCCACCUGGGUCAGCGCAGAUCUGAAGCUCUGGGAGGGGCAGGCCGGGGUGUGAGGGGCUGGGAGAGGGGGGGUCUCCAGGGCAGGGGGCACCUGAGCUGAGGCUGGGGCGAAUCGGGAGGUGGUGUCCCCAGCAGAAGGCAGGAUGCAGCCAGAAGGCCCAGAGGCCCUGAGGAGGGCUUCUCUGCCUCAGCUCUCUGAGAUGUCCGUCACCCUGCUGCGGGACCCGUCCAUGUCGCCUCUGGGAGCAGCCACGCUCACCCCGUCCUCCACCUGCCCCUCUCUGGUUGAAGGUCGCUACGGUGCCACCGACAUGCGGUGAGUGAGCCCUGGGCUCCUGGAGAGGCUUCCGUACCCCAAGCUGGGACUCGGGCAUAAGGACAGAGAAAGUGGGCAGGGAUGACGGAGGGCCUGGGGUGUCACAGGUGGGGGCAGGGCCUGCUGGAGAGGGCGUGGUGGCCUCUCCAGGGGUGCAUGGUGCCCCCUGUGUGGCUUGGCUCCACAUGGCCUCCAAGCGCACGUACCAAAGCACAUCCACAAGGGAGUCAGAACAGAGCUCCGCAAGUGCUCGUGGGGAGAGCCGUGUGCCCAGCACCCUGAGCACUGCCAGGCAGCCUGCGGCACAGCGUCCAGGAGGAGCCCCUGCCCGGCUCACUCCACUGAUGGCGGAUUCAAGGGAGUUUGACUCCUGUUUGAAACGCCUCUGGGUUCCCAGAUUUUCUUUACCAAAAAAAAAGGGAGGGGAGAGGGUCUCGACCCCACACCUCUGAGACAGGCUUCACACAGCCUGCUGGGCUCCUGGCUCCCGUUGUCACCUUGGUCCCUCUGAGGGGAUGGGCCCAGGAGACAGGCGUGGGCCUGGCGAGGAGCCCUGGCAGCACACAGUGUGUCUCCCUGCUUUCCAGGACCCCGCAGCCCUGUUCCCGGCCAGCCAGCCCAGAGCCAGAGCCAGUGCCAGAGGCAGACUCCAAGAAGCCCCUGUCCCCUGCGCGGGCCACAGAGGCCGAUAAGGAGCCCCAGCGCCUCCUGGUCCCCGACAUCCAGGAAAUCCGAGUCAGGUAUGUAGGGCCCCACAUGAAGCUGCCCACCACAGGCAGUGCCCCUUACCCGAGCACAGGGCAGAGCCAGGGGCCAGGCCUCAGGCACACACCCUCCCCCACGUGCAGGACAGUUCUGAACCAGGUCAGGCAGACCCCUUGACCCAGACUGGGGACCACUUUGUUCUAGAGGGGUCACCCCACCCCCGAUGGUCCUGGUGCUGCUGUGGCAACAUGCAGACGGGGGGCGGGGGUCCGAGCCAGAGCGGGGCCUAGUGUCACCGGGCCGUGAUUGGCAGCUCCAGGGCUGUGUCUGCUCUUCAAGUCUCUCCAUCCCCAGCUGGGAUGUCCUCUGAGCCCCCAGAAAUGGGCCAGAGGUGGGCUAGUGGGUCUGGACUCCGGCCUCUGGCCCGCUUUCUCCUGGGCAAUGACCAGUACUGUGGGCCUGGCUCUGGGUGGGGGGCCGUGACUUCUGCCUUUGCCCGCACCACACCUGGCUGCCGGGACGUGAGCCAGCAGAUGCCCUGCCCCACAGCCCGAUCGUGUCCAAGAAGGGGUACCUGCACUUCCUGGAGCCGCACACAGCCGGCUGGGCCAAGCGCUUCGUGGUGGUACGACGCCCCUACGCCUACAUGUACAACAGUGACAAGGACACGGUGGAGAGAUUUGUGCUCAACCUCUCCACGGCCCAGGUGGAGUACAGCGAGGACCAGCAGGCCAUGCUCAAGGUACGCCCGGUCCCCGGGCCUGGGGCCCCCACAGGGCGGGGACAGUGGGGAGGAACCGGGCCAGGCCUCUGUGCCCCACAUGGGCUGGGUGGCACCUCUGUGCCCUGCCCAGGCUGCGGCACUGUGUCCUGUGCACAGAGAUGGGACCUGGGGCUCAGCCCUGCUGCAGCUCAGUCCUGGUGACCACUGUUGGUGAUGAGUGUGGUCCUAGGGCAGGGCAGAUAUGGCCAGUGGCCCGUCCUGUCCUCCUGGGGAACCUGUGGCACGUGGCCCCCUCCCUCCCCGAGUGUGGCCUUCUGGACACAUAGGAGCAGGCUCCCUGGGGCCUAGUGGGAAGAGAAGUCCUCUGAGCCCAGGAGCUGUGGAGUGGCCUCCUCUGUAGGAGGGGCAGCAGGAACUCAGUCCACCGCCCACACCCUGCACACAGGCCAGCAGGGCCACUCAGCCACGGCCACUGGAGGGGCAGACGCUUCCCCUGGGUGCAGAGCAGGGUGGGGCCCAGGCCCAGGACAGAGCUUCCUGACCGAAGAGGCUUCUGGAAGGGAGCCGGAGCACCGCGGGUCGGGAUAGGCCAUGUGCUCUGCAGAGGGGUCGCCCUGCCUCCCCACGAGGUUUGGCCUGCGGCUCCCCGAGCCCCACCUCAGAGUCCCCAGGUUCCUUCUCAGGAGUGGUGGGUGCCGGCCCGCUCCUUCUUACCACAGCCUCCUUUGCAGACGCCCAACACGUUUGCGGUGUGCACAGAGCACCGUGGUAUCCUGCUGCAGGCCAACAGUGACAAGGACAUGCAUGACUGGCUGUACGCCUUCAACCCCCUCCUGGCGGGGACCAUCCGGUACGGCUGUGCCCGGGCCCCGCCAGCCAGCACCUCCGGGGCGCUAGGCAGGGCCGAGCUGCUUCUGGAUCCUGUGGGGGUCCGAGGGGGUGGGCCUGCACUAACUGGGUGGGCCUUGAUGUGUGGCGGUGUGCGCACACAGUCCUCCACGUCACAGACGAGGGCCUGGCGGGUGUGGGAGGGCUGAGGCAGCACCAGGCCUCACCCGCUCAGUGCCAGGGCCUGAGCGUCUGGUGGUCCUGGGGCUGCCCUUACGCCAGGGGCUUGACGGACGCGGCCGGGGGGUCAGUCCCAGCGUGACACCCCUUUCUCCUCCCUCUGCAGGUCCAAGCUCUCCCGGAGGAGGUCUGCACNGCAGGCUCAGUCCCCUCCCAAGCGAGGCUGGUCUGGUGCCUCACUCCCGCAGCCUCCCAAGGGUGCCCUGCACCAGGUCAGGCGGGCCUUCUGCCUGGCCCACGGCCUUCACCCAGCAGCCUCCUGCUGACCACAUGCCACAGAGGCUGUGGAGGGGCACCUGGAGCUGGCCCCACACCUGGAACCCACCUGGGUCAGCGCAGAUCUGAAGCUCUGGGAGGGGCAGGCCGGGGUGUGAGGGGCUGGGAGAGGGGGGGUCUCCAGGGCAGGGGGCACCUGAGCUGAGGCUGGGGCGAAUCGGGAGGUGGUGUCCCCAGCAGAAGGCAGGAUGCAGCCAGAAGGCCCAGAGGCCCUGAGGAGGGCUUCUCUGCCUCAGCUCUCUGAGAUGUCCGUCACCCUGCUGCGGGACCCGUCCAUGUCGCCUCUGGGAGCAGCCACGCUCACCCCGUCCUCCACCUGCCCCUCUCUGGUUGAAGGUCGCUAC